AUUGAACGCUGGCGGCAGGCCUAACACAUGCAAGUCGAACGAGUGGCGGACGGGUGAGUAAUGUCUGGUAAACUGCCUGAUGGAGGGGGAUAACUACUGGAAACGGUAGCUAAUUCCGCAUACUCUCGGAUGUGCCCAGAUGGGAUUAGCUAGUAGGUGGGGUAAAGGCUCACCUGGGGGAGGAUACCUAGCUGGUCGGAGAGGAUGAACAGCCAAAUGGGAAUGGGGCAACGGUCCAGACUCCUAGGGGAGGAGGCAUUGGGGAACAUUGCACAUUGGGCGCAAGCCUGAUGCAGAAAUGCCGGGGGGAUGAAGAAGGCCUUCGGGUUGUAAAGUACUUUCAUCGGGGAGGCGUUACCCGAAGAAGAAGCACCGGCUAACUACGUGCCAGCAGCCGCGGUAAUUC
rnacentral:rRNA from 1 species